rnacentral:rRNA from 1 species
AUUGAACGCUGGCGGCAGGCCUAACACAUGCAAGUCGAACGGUAACAGGAAGAAGCUUGCUUCUUUGCUGACGAGUGGCGGACGGGUGAGUAAUGUCUGGGAAACUGCCUGAUGGAGGGGGAUAACUACUGGAAACGGUAGCUAAUACCGCAUAACGUCGCAAGACCAAAGAGGGGGACCUUCGGGCCUCUUGCCAUCGGAUGUGCCCAGAUGGGAUUAGCUAGUAGGUGGGGUAACGGCUCACCUAGGCGACGAUCCCUAGCUGGUCUGAGAGGAUGACCAGCCAAACUGGAACUGAGACACGGUCCAGACUCCUACGGGAGGCAGCAGUGGGGAAUAUUGCACAAUGGGCGCAAGCCUGAUGGAGCCAUGCCGCGUGUAUGAAGAAGGCCUUCGGGUUGUAAAGUACUUUCAGCGGGGAGGAAGGAAGUAAAGUUAAUACCUUCGCUCAUUGACGUUACCCGCAGAAGAAGCACCGGCUAACUCCGUG